AAGUCGUAACAAGGUUUCCGUAGGUGAACCUGCGGAAGGAUCAUUAAAGAGACGUUGCCCUUCGGGGUAUACCUCCCACCCUUUGUUUAUUAUACCUUUGUUGCUUUGGCGGGCCCGUCCUCGGACCACCGGCUUCGGCUGGUCAGUGCCCGCCAGAGGACCUAAAACUCUGUUUGUUCAUAUUGUCUGAGUACUAUAUAAUAGUUAAAACUUUCAACAACGGAUCUCUUGGUUCUG
rnacentral:misc_RNA from 2 species